UACCCCCAGGGGAAGUCGAAUCCCCGACUGCCUCCUUGUAAAGAGAGAUGUCCUGAACCACUAGACGAUAGGGGC
rnacentral:tRNA from 1 species